UAUAAUUUUGAGUUACAAAUUCUCUCUCCCUUCUGCCCCUCCCCCACUCCUUGAAAAGGCAAGCAACAUGGUAUCGAUUAUAUAAAUCAUUAAAUUUCUAAACCAAAAAUUUCAAAAGUGAAAUAACACUGAGAAAUAUAUCAUUUAUGAAGAAAAAACCAAUUUCCACUGAUAUUUGGCUUCUAUGAGGAAUUCCUUAAUAUUUACUAUAAAAUGAAAAAAGUUUUAUCUUCUAGUUCGUUAAAGGAAAAUCAUCUUUUUCCUACAUUGAUAACACUUUUAAAGAAGUUGUAAUACAUACCUAUAAUUCAGAACUCCCAAAGGCAACAUUAAAUACUUAUCCAAAUGACUAUUACAUAGAAUCUGAAGGUGGUGGAUAGAUGGGAGACCAGGGAAGGUAGGGGUGACUUUCUGGAGCUAGAAGAGAGAGGGACAACCCUCAGAGCCAGUACAGCAUAGACAGGCCAUGGAACACCCUCUUUUUAGUGCCAUAUUUAAAGUUAUGCAUUACACAGCAAUAAGUCUCAAGUGGUAAUAAAUAUUAACAUGAUUCUCUUCCUUUGAGUUCAGUAGAAUCGGAGGGCAAAGACUGUUUCAUUUUUGUCUGUGUAUCCUUAGCACCUAGCACAGUGCCUGGCACGUAACAGGCACUUAAUAAAAUGCUUAUUGCAUUUAAUUAAGACAACCCAUGAAUCUGUUUUCAAAAGAAAGACUAUAAAUUUGAAGGCAUUUUCGUUGCAAAUAAUUUUCUCUAACUUUGAUCUCUCCCCACUCCAGCCCCCCAUCUGAGGUAACAACUACUACAAUAACAGUUACGGUGUCUGAGGUUUGGACUGUAUGUACAUCUAUUAUCACAGUUGAGCCUACCUUGUGAAAUAAGUGAUACCCUAUUUUUGCAGAUGAAGAGACUGAGGCUCAGAGUUAAGUGAUUUGUCCAGGAUAAAACCACUAAUAAGUAUCUGAGGUGAAAUUUCAUAAGCCCAACGCUCCCUGAAGAUUCCAAGUCCAUUCUUUGUCCUACCCACUAUACCGAAGCUGUGGUAAAUCUUUGUAAUAAACAAUCAGGCUCUUCCCUCCUCUCCUACACCUGUAUCCCAAUGAUUGUCUGGAAGUUUUGAGGAUGCCAUCUGAUUGAUAAGAAACAUCACUGUAUCAACAGAUAUCAAAUUAUUAUUAAGGUGAUGCUACUGUUGAUUUAGAAAUGACAAUGAAAAUUAUUUAAUAAAGAAUUAUGAUUU